CCCUUGAGGCAGUGGCAAGGGCUGGCUGACUCUGUCCUUACAUACACAGUGUAUUUGCCAACUUGUGGGUGCCCUGGCUCGCAGUGACUGCAGAGGAAUUAAUGUGGAAUCCCAGCUGGAAAACAUUACAGGCAUUCUGUUCAACCAGCUGAGUGAAGAAGUCAACAACUCAGAUCCUAACUCUGUAAAGAACCACAGCCUCACCCUGAAGGCUUUCCACAUCCUGAUGCCCCAGACAGAGAAACUGCAGAGAGAGGUGAUGCAUUCAACCAUUAUUGUGAUUCAGGACAACCUCAAACCAGUGAGCAGAAAGGCGGGGUGUUUAGGCUGGGAGGGCGGCUGCUUUCUUGAGAACUUGAGGUCUUGUAAAAUGGAGAGGGGAAGGCUUUGGGGGUGAGGGUUGAGGUAAAGCACCCUUGCCAAGCUAGUUCUGACCUCAGACCACUGCCCGUGGGUUACAUUUGGGCUCUUCAAAACCUGGGAAGGUUUGAGAAGUGGACAGGUGGUUCUUUUCUAUAUUCUGAUUCUUUUCAGUGGGCAGCACUGUGGUGUGGCCAGUGGGGACAGGGAGCUCUAGAGGAUACUAAUUCUGCCCCCUGAGAAUUUGUGGUUUGUUUGGGGAGAG
rnacentral:lncRNA from 1 species